GACGAACGCUGGCGGCGUGCCUAAUACAUGCAAGUAGGACGCAGUUGCGAACGGGGGAGUAAAGCGUAGGUAACUGCCUAUUAGAGGGGGGUAACUAUUGGAAACGAUAGCUAAUACCGCAUACUAGUAGAUGGACCUGCGUUGUAUUAGCUAGUAGGUAGGGUAAUGGCCUACCUAGGCGACGAUACAUACCCGACCUGGGGGGGUGAUCGGCCACCAUGGGACUGGGGAACGGGCCCGACCCCUACGGGGGGGAGCAGGAGGGAAACCUCGGCAAUGGGGGGAAAGCUGACCGAGCAAAGCCGCGGGAGUGAAGAAGGUUUUCGGAUCGUAAAGCUCUGUUGUUAAGGAAGCGGUACUUAACCAGAAAGGGACGGCUAACUACGUGCCAGCAGCCGCGGUAAUAC
rnacentral:rRNA from 1 species